rnacentral:lncRNA from 1 species
CCCGUGUUUUAACGGUGCUGACACCGUUUGAAAAAUCAUUUCUUUUUGUCCAUCUUCUCCGAUUAGGUUCUUUGGAUUUUCCGGUGGCAUCACAGGUUCUCUCUCACAGAUCUGGAUUGGAUCCCUUUCUGUUUCCAGUCUUCAACCAGAAAAGAAAAUAUCUCAUCUGGGUUAUCCCCAUGGGAAAUCCCAAUAUCUCACCUGAAUCAAUCACCAUG